GACUCCGUGGCCAAGCUGGCUAAGGCGUGCGACUGUUAAUCGCAAGAYCGUGAGUYCAAUCCUCACCGGGGUCG
rnacentral:tRNA from 1 species